UGAUGGCAGCAUUUGUUUUAGGGAUUUUACUCAAAUAUAAAGAUCUGAAAUGUCUGCAGACUGGUGUGAGCACUGAGGAUGGGGAGCCCAGAGGUGCAUCCUGGAAGUGGUGCCAUGGAUGAGUCCCUCCAUCUCUCCACCUGCCCUUAUGAGUCCCUCCAUCUGUCCACCUGCCUUUACGAGACCCUCGAUCUCUCCACCUGCCCUUAUUGCCUCAGAUUGUGAAGCGCAGCACAACAACAAGCUCUGGGAAGAAGGCACAGUCCCCUCUGGUGAAUUCAUCAGAAUAAAGCUGCAGAAUGGGAACCCCUGUGUUGAGUCGGCAUGAUGUGGUGUUCAGCGGCUGUAAAUACAUGCUUGUAGUUUGAAUAAAGCUUUGUUUCAUGUGUUGUUGACUUGUA